rnacentral:lncRNA from 1 species
UGUGCGUGAAGUGCAGUAGAAUGGAAGACAUGAUUGCUGUAAAAACGGCACAGUGCCACUCAGGUAUUUUUUGAACAGUGAAGGGAAACGGGACGUUUAUUCGAAGAAACACAAUUUAAAUUAUUAAGUGGCAGAGCCCUAGUAUUUCACGUUUUUAUUCCCUCAUUUCUCAUCCUUCCUUCAUCCCCAAAGCUUACUUGAGAGGAAAUUGCAUGAAAAUUUAAUUAGCUAGUUGGAGAGAGCAAUAAAGGCAGCAUUCCUCAGUUAAAUUCUUGAAACAAUUUAGGGGUAAGGC